AAAGAGUCAGAGAUGACUUAGUGACUGAACAACAGCAUUCUCACCAGAGCAAAUCCAUCCCCAUAUUUUAGGAAUGAGACACUGAAUCUCAAAAAGGUUAGCUCUUGCGUUCUGGAGGAGAGCAGAAUGAAACACUGGGGAAAGGAAGAAAGGAGAAGAUGCUGAGGACAUUAGUCAGAGGGAACAUAUUGAAAGAUGGACUCCUGCAACUUCUCAGAAUGCAAGAUACUACACAGGUUCUGCUUGGACCACUGACAACACGCAAGUUAAUUCUCUGAGUAGAGAGCCCUGCUGCUGCUGCUAAGUUGCUUCAGUCAUGUCCGACUCUGUGUGACCCCAUAGAUGGCAGCCCACCAUGCUCCCCAGUCCCUGGGAUUCUCCAGGCAAGAACACCGGAGUGGGUUGCCAUUUCCUUCACCAAUACAUGAGAGUGAAAAGUGAAAGUGAAGUCACUCAGUUGUGUCCAAUUCUUAGCGACCCCAUGGACUGCAGCCCACCAGGCUCCUCCAUCCGUGGGAUUUUCCAGGCAAGAGUACCGGAGUGGGGUGCCAUUGCCUUCUCAGUUCAACAGCCCUAAAAGGCAACAAAGGAUGACAGCAAUCCCUUGAUAGUGGAUGAUUGUGAGAUGCUAGAUCUGGAAGCAACAGGAUGUAUUAUCUAGGACACUUCCCUUCCUACAUUUGCAAGGAACUUAAGUUCAGAGCAGUGAUCUGGUCAAGGUCCUACUUAGCA
ensembl:lncRNA